rnacentral:rRNA from 2 species
UUUAUGGAGAGUUUGAUCCUGGCUCAGGAUGAACGCUGGCGGCGUGCCUAAUACAUGCAAGUCGAGCGAACGGAC